rnacentral:tRNA from 1 species
GCGUCGUGAGCUGAAAACCAAGCUGACCAAGCUCGGCCAAUGCGGGAAGCACACGAUUAGCUUGAGGUGCUAGCGGGUAACACCGUGGGGGUUCAAGUCCCCCUCUCCGCACCA